GGGGAAAAAUUUUAAACGCCCACCGCUCAGCGGUAAGCCAGCACUGAGUGGUGGCGUCGCAGACUUCAACAUGGGCUUUUUAAAAGCUCAGCGUUGGAGGCCCAUCUGCACACUUUUAAACCUCCCUAGAAUGCGCCCAAGCGUUCUUCACAGACCUCCACACUUUUCUUUCAUUCUAAAGAGCUUUUCAAAGGGUUUUCCUUCACUUUUUCCAUCACCCACUCACUUAAACUCCAUAGUUCUUC
rnacentral:lncRNA from 1 species